GAAAGUAUUAUAGAAAAUCUCACCCACUCAAGGAGUGAUGAGAUUCGGAAAGAAAGGGAAACUAAGUCCUAGAUUUAUUGGUCCCUACAAAAUCCUGGAG